GACGAACGCUGGCGGCGUGCUUAACACAUGCAAGUCGAACGAAGAGCGAUGGAAGCUUGCUUCUAUCAAUCUUAGUGGCGAACGGGUGAGUAACGCGUAAUCAACCUGCCCUUCAGAGGGGGACAACAGUUGGAAACGACUGCUAAUACCGCAUACGAUCUAAUCUCGGCAUCGAGGAUAGAUGAAAGGUGGCCUCUACAUGUAAGCUAUCACUGAAGGAGGGGAUUGCGUCUGAUUAGCUAGUUGGAGGGGUAACGGCCCACCAAGGCGAUGAUCAGUAGCCGGUCUGAGAGGAUGAACGGCCACAUUGGGACUGAGACACGGCCCAGACUCCUACGGGAGGCAGCAGUGGGGAAUCUUCCGCAAUGGACGAAAGUCUGACGGAGCAACGCCGCGUGAGUGAUGACGGCCUUCGGGUUGUAAAGCUCUGUUAAUCGGGACGAAAGGCCUUCUUGCGAAUAGUGAGAAGGAUUGACGGUACCGGAAUAGAAAGCCACGGCUAACUAUGUG
rnacentral:rRNA from 1 species